rnacentral:lncRNA from 1 species
UUAAGCCGUGUAACGAAUGUGGCAAAUGAAUACUUUCCACAUCUGAUAGGGAUAAACGAGUGAGAUUCUUCAAUCUUACUAUGGAAGGUGGUACUUCUCUUAUAUUUGUUUGCUCUGCUUCAAGUGUUCUCAGUGAUAUCAUCUCCCCUAUAUCCUCAUGCACUUCUCUGAAUUUCGAACACCUAUUAAGAAGAAGAUUCUCAACAGAUUUUGACUUAUAGAAAUCCCUUGGAAGAGAACAAAGAUUGUCACACCUUCUAAGGUUCACCAAAGAAAGUCUUUUAAGAUGACCAAUGGAGGGGUGAAUCUCGAACAAACUCCAACAGCCUUCCAAUAUCAAAUCUUCAAGAUUUGGGGCUUGUGAAAAGUCCGGUGAUUUCUGUAAGGAAAGGGAAUAGCUGAGAUCAAGGGUUUUCAAGUUUUGUAGGGACUGUUGCAGAAAAUCAAAAGAAAAUUGAAAUUAAUAUCCGAAAUGAAGAUGCUAUAAAGAAAAGAGAAGAAAUCCAAAAAACAAAUAGAAACAAAACAUCAUCAGGUGUAAUUCAUUGUACCUUGGAACCCUCCCAAACUUGUACCAGAUUGCUCCACUGCAUCUCUAAAACAACUAGUUUAUCUUGAUUAAAAAAGUCAUCUGGUAUGGACUUUAAAGGGCAGUCUUCCCAACGCAACCGUAUUAACUCUUUGGGAAGAUGUUUGUAUUCUCCCUUGAGCUCUAUGCUGAUGCGGUCAAGGGAUAAACGAGUGAGAUUCUUCAAUCUUACUAUGGAAGGUGGUACUUCUCUUAUGUCUGUUUGCUUUGCUUCAAGUGUUCUCAGUGAUAUCAUCUCCCCUAUAUCCUCAUGCAGUUCUCUUAAUUGUUGACAGUAAUUAAGAAGAAGAGUCUCAACAGAUUUCAAUUUAUAGAAAUCCCUUGGAAGAGAAAUAAGCUUAUGACAGUGUCUAAGGUUCACCAAAGAAAGUCUUUUAAGAUGACCAAUGGAAGGUGGUACUUCUCUUAUGGCUGUUCGCUCAGCUUCAAGUGUUCUCAGUGAUAUCAUCUCCCCUAUAUCCUCAUGCAGUUCUAUGAAUUUUGAACACAUAUUAAGAAGAAGAGUCUCAACAGAUUUCAAUUUAUAGAAAUCCCUUGGAAGAGAAAUAAGCUUAUGACAGUCUCUAAGGUUCACCAAAGAAAGUCUUUUAAGAUGACCAAUGGAGGGGUGAAUCUCGGUCAAACUCUCACACCCUUCCAAUAUCAACUCUUCAAGAUUUGGGACUUGUGAAAAGUCCGGUGAUUUCUGUAAGGAACGGGAAUAGCUAAGAUCAAGGGUUUUCAAGUUAUGAAGCGACUGUUGCAGAAAAUCAAAAGAAAAUUGAAAUUAAUAUCCGAAAUGAAGAUGUUAUUAAAAAAAAAAAGAAGAAAUCCAAAAAACAAAUAGAAACACAACAUCAUCAGGUGUAAUUUAUUGUACCUUGGAACCCUCCCAAACUUGUACCAGUUCGCUCCACUGCAUCUCUAAAACAACUAGUUUAUCUUGAUUAAAAAAGUCAUCUGGUAUGGACUUUAAGGGGCAUAGGUCCCAACGCAACCGUAUUAACUCUUUGGGAAGAUGUUUGUAUUCUCCUUUGAGCUCUACGCUGAUGCGGUCAAGGGAUAAACGAGUGAGAUUCUUCAAUCUUACUAUGGAAGGUGGUACUUCUCUUAUGUCUGUUUGCUUUGCUUCUAGUGUUCUCAGUGAUAUCAUCUCCCCUAUAUCCUCAUGCAAUUCUCUGAAUUUUCGACAGUAAUUAAGAAGAAGAGUCUCAAUAGAUUUCAAUUUAUAGAAAUCCCUUGGAAGAGAAAUAAGCUUAUAAUGACAUCCUGAAAG